UAGCAAUGCAGAUUCUGCUUAGAACAAGCUAUGGCAGAGAUCAAUGAUUUAUCUGUAUCUCAGGAGGGUUUCAUUGCACACCUUGAGUUCCAACAGGUCUAUCUACCCAGACUUGAAGCUACUGCAGCUAUGUCUCUGCUGUACAGCAGCAACAUUCUCCAAUUCCUGCAGCACACAGAUCUGGUUGUUUGUUAUCCUCCACCUUCUUCAACUACCCUGUGUCCUCAUGGGGGCAUCCCUUAAGUCCUACCCCAAAAGUCAGGGCUGGAAGGUCUAUUUAUUUGCUCUCCCGGAAAAGAGAACGUAUUUCAAGAUGUCAAAAUAUUUUGUUCGCCUUCAUUUGAUUGUAAGAGGAGCCUUAGGUGAGG
rnacentral:lncRNA from 12 species